UAUAUAUAUAUAUAUAUAUAUAUAUAUAUAAGGUGUUUUUUAUUAACUGUUUUAAGUAUGUGCUUUCCAUCUGAAUCGGGAAGAGUGCUUGAGCAACAGGGAAACAAUUUCUAAAAAAUAAUCUUAAGGAUACUGAAGAUUGUGUAGCAGAACAUGGAAUUUAAGAUGGACAUACUAAUGAAGGUGUUUGGAUGUACUAAUGAAGGAGUAAACACAGACAUUUGUUUAAUCUUCAUUUGGCUUUGAAAGAUUGACAGAAGAAAAUCAAAACCCAAGGGCAUGUAAUGGUGGUGAGCGGGAUUAAACCUGGGCAGUUAUUACAGUAUGCAGAAGAUUUACAGACGAACAAAUACGCAAAGGAACAUUAACAAGUAAAACAGUGAGGAAAUAACUAAAAGCAUACAUCUGAAAGUCUCGGUAACUCUGGUGUAGGGGCAAAACACCCUUCUACUGCUGUCGAGGAACAAGAUAGAAUAGCAGAAACUAGGAAUAUGUGACGUGGCUUUUGAUGGGGCUUCAAUAUGUUGUGAAGGUGACAGAGAGGAAGAGCAGGCAGUGAAGAGGACUUCAUACAGUCAGAGGCAGAGUGGAUUGCUAUGCCAGGUGGCUUGGGCAAACCAUGGCGCAAGACAAAAAAAAAAAUCAGGACAACCGGAUACUAAGGUUUCUGAUAAAUGAACGGACACAACUAAAACAGUCUCCAAGGUACUGUAAACAAGGUAUGUUUAUUUGUGUUAAACACAUAGAUGCAAAAUGAUAGAGCACUAUGAAUUGAUGACAUGAAGAUCUGUAUUAACAUGCUGGUAUUAUUUUGUAUAAGACAGAAACCCUGUAUGUACUCUGCCAGUACCUAUUGUAUAGAAGCCUUUGUUUAUAAGAGCAUCUAAAGAUUGGUCUCUAAAAUCCCUUCGACCAACCUGUAUUUUCUGGGUCAUGCCAAGUGUUCCAUUUAUGUACAUUGGAAAUGAAAUUAUACUACAGAUGUUGGCAAUUAGGGUCUGAAGUACAAUUUUCAAUAUACAAUGCCUUUGAUUUACCACUCAGUUAGUUGACCAUUGGACUUCCCAGUCGUUUAGAUUUUAAACAGUAAUAUUUCACAGUACUUUUAUAUCAAAUGACAUCCUAAUAUUGCAUUGUUGACAAAAAAACUACAAUAUUGCUAAAAUUUAACACACUUUUAUAUGCUUAGUUACUUCCUAGUAACUUUUUUUGUUGUUUGUUUCAUUUUUCUACUACAUGCCAAACUUCUGAGCUGAUCUCCUUGAGAAUUCCAGCAGCCCCUGUGGUUCUGGUAUCUGUCAUUGAAAAACAACAAUCUGCAUUCUUGAAGCUUUGAAAGAGAACAACCUUUUUCUAUGUUGUACAGAUGCAUCUCUCAAUAACAGACGGGUUGGAAAGGAAAUCCCAAGGCAGGUGUGGUUAUUAAUAGUGGAUUUGUUGGUACUUGCCUAGUAAAGAGAGGAUAGAAUAAAAACAUUACUGAACAGGCUUUAAAUAUAUCUACUGAAGGUCAGUAAAGUAUAGGAUUCAGGAUGUAUUGGUACCAGCCUGGUUCCUCUUGGUAGAAUCUAACGAAUGUAAUAGUUUUCUCGCUAAAAGGCAAAAGGUUCAAGUAAACCAAAAUCAACACAGAGCUAUAUAUCAUAACAUGACUAAGGUUAUGGCCAAUAUCUUUCACUGUAGUUUCUUGAAUAUUCCUUGUGCAUGGUUGGUAAGUGCAUUAAAAAUUACUAUAUAUUUGUUUUUAACAAAUGUUUAUGAAACAAUCUACAGUUCUGUUGUGAGCAGUAGUUGAGAGGCCAUGCUAUUUGUGUUCUACCUGAAUGAGAAUGCAAGUGCUAGUUGACUGGAUAAAUGGGAGCCUUGAUCACACUACUGGCUCAUUUGUAUAAAGGGCUUCCUUAUAACUAGAGAGCACUGCAUACCAAAGCUGCAUUAGUAAUGAUUAUAGAAACAAAAUGGUGAUUUAUGUUAUUUUAGAUCUGUGCUUAAAACAAUGAACUUUUGUUUUUACAGUUUAAUAAAGAAAAGAAAAUAAAUUAUUGUCAUGCUUAUUGAACCUAAUAUGACCACAUUAUACACAUUGCAAUGAAUUCUGUAGAAUUUAGUGUUCACAAUCAUUCAUCCAUUGCACUUUUUUUUCUGCAAAAUGUAUUUAGGGAAACAUUGCCUUGUGGCAGGAUGCCACAUUUAACCAACAUAUCCACAUUCACUUUUUUGUAUUUUUUCCCCCAGAACAUCAAUUAAACGCCUAUUAAUGUGCUGUCCUUAAAUGUUUGGUCACACCCAUACUUACACUUUGGGCAGAAACGGUCGAUAGUACUAUUGCCCUCUGGUGGUUUAGUUAUACUUUUUCCAGCAGAAGCAUGAGUCUGUAGAGAAUAACCCUAUUGAUCUGGCUGUGUGGUAUACCAACAGGUUUCUUUGCAAAAGUAGUUGUUUGUAUUUAGCUUGAUUUUAUCCAAGCUAAUGGAUCCACAGUUUUAGCCAUUAAGCCUGGGUAAGGAUAAAGUAUGGGGUACUGUACCUCAUUAGCUUCUGUAGAAGUAAAUUGGUUUAUUUUAAGUACAGGUAAGAGUUGUUUUUUGUAUGUUAUGAAUGUUUAAAACAA